UACAGAGGGGGCAAGCGUUAUUCGGAAUUAUUGGGCGUAAAGGGCGCGUAGGCGGCCUGGCAAGUGGAAGGUGAAAUCCCUCGGCUUAACCGAGGAACUGCCUCCCAAACUGCUUGGCUUGAGACCGGGAGAGGUGAGUGGAAUUCCCAGUGUAGCGGUGAAAUGCGUAGAUAUUGGGAGGAACACCAGUGGCGAAGGCGGGUCUCUGGGCCGAUAUUGACGCUGAGGAGCGAAAGCGUGGGGAGCGAACAGG
rnacentral:rRNA from 1 species